rnacentral:rRNA from 1 species
GACGAACGCUGGCGGCGUGCUUAACACAUGCAAGUCGAACGGAAAGGCCCUGCUUUUGUGGGGUGCUCGAGUGGCGAACGGGUGAGUAACACGUGAGUAACCUGCCCUUGACUUUGGGAUAACUUCAGGAAACUGGGGCUAAUACCGGAUAGGAGCUCCUGCUGCUUGGUGGGGGUUGGAAAGUUUCGGCGGUUGGGGAUGGACUCGCGGCUUAUCAGCUUGUUGGUGGGGUAGUGGCUUACCAAGGCUUUGACGGGUAGCCGGCCUGAGAGGGUGACCGGCCACAUUGGGACUGAGAUACGGUCCAGACUCCUACGGGAGGCAGCAGUGGGGAAUAUUGCACAAUGGGCGGAAGCCUGAUGCAGCAACGCCGCGUGCGGGAUGACGGCCUUCGGGUUGUAAACCGCUUUCGCCUGUGACGAAGCGUGAGUGACGGUAAUGGGUAAAGAAGCACCGGCUAACUACGUG